rnacentral:rRNA from 1 species
CCUACGGGUGACAGCAGUGAGGAAUAUUGGUCAAUGGGCGUAAGCCUGAACCAGCCAAGUCGCGUGAGGGAUGAAGGUUCUAUGGAUCGUAAACCUCUUUUAUCAGGGAAUAAAGGGUGGGACGUGUCCUGUUUUGUAUGUACCUUAUGAAAAAGGAUCGGCUAACUCCGUGCCAGCAGCCGCGGGAAUACGGAGGAUCCGAGCGUUAUCCGGAUUUAUUGGGGUUAAAGGGUGCGUAGGCGGCCUUUUAAGGCAGCGGGUAAAGUCUGGGGCUCAACCCUAGAAUUGCCGUUGAAACUGGGAGGCUUGAGUAUGUGUGAGGUAGGCGGAAUGCGUGGUGUAGCGGUGAAAUGCUUAGAUAUCACGCAGAACCCCGAUUGCGAAGGCAGCCUGCCAGGCCAUGACUGACGCUGAUGCACGAAAGCGUGGGUAUCGAACAGGAUUAGAUACCCCAGUAGUC